CAGUCGCCGCGGUAAUACAGAGGAUGCAAGCGUUAUCCGGAAUGAUUGGGCGUAAAGCGUCUGUAGGUGGCUUUUCAAGUCCGCCGUCAAAUCCCAGGGCUCAACCCUGGACAGGCGGUGGAAACUACCAAGCUGGAGUACGGUAGGGGCAGAGGGAAUUUCCAGUGGAGCGGUGAAAUGCGUUGAGAUCGAAAAGAACACCAACAGCGAAAGCACUCUGCUGGGACGACACUGACACUAAGAGACGAAAGCUAGGGGAGCAAAUGGGAUUAGAUACCCGUGUAGUCCCUGUCUCUUAUAC
rnacentral:rRNA from 1 species